CUACUCCAACAAGGCCACACCUCCUAAUAGUGCCACUUCCCCUGGGCCAAGCAUAUUUGAACCACCACAGCACCUGAUGAUAGAAGAAUGACAGGGACACCUUGAUCUCACACGCAUGUGCUCACCAGCCAAUCAUAGAUCAUUCUCCUCCUGAUGGUGUGAAGGACGGCACUGAAUUCCAGCUAUAAAGGUCAGUUGUCCCACUGGUAGAGAUAGGAGAUCCAGCCUUGGGAAGCAUCCUGAGGUCCUGGCCCAGUGGGUCUGAUCAGGUGAGGAGUGGCUUAUAAGAUGCCCUGGGGGCUCUGCCAGACCUCAGUCAAAGCAACAUCCGGCAAGUACCAGCAAAACUGGAGCACAAUGACAAGCAGGCACACAGAGAAGCAAGGCAACUACUGUCAUCCUUAACUUUGUCUUGACUUUCCUACUUGGCUAUGAUCUCUUUGUUGUUGUUGUUGUGUUUGUUGAGGACAGCCGCGCAAAGUUGGCCAGUGAGUGGUGGGGGUAUCUCCAGGCUGCCUACUCUUGUGACCUCGGGGCAAAUAAUGGGAUCCCACCAGCAAUGUGCACCACAGUUGAGAGCCCUGGCGAGGACCGUGCCCCAUCACCCGCCUCUCUGCCUUCCAUCUUGCCUGCUAUCUGGCUGGAAUGCUACCACCACUCUCAAUGACCAGUAGGCCAACGGGGUGACAGUUACCAAUCGAAGGGCGAAGGAGGCCGCGGUGCUCGGAUGUCCCAGGUUCAGCCCCUGUGGAAUUAAUGUGUAGAGAGCCUGAGCCAGGGGUACUCUUUGUUGCCAGGCACCGGGGCUCUUUCUUAGCCACGAAAUGGCCGUUGCUGCCACAUGGUGACCGUGACGACAUCUGCACCCUGAACCGCCGCCUUCUCCACUCCCCCUCCCCCACUCCUUCUGCCCCUUGGCUGCUCAGUGCUGGGGGAGCACGUGCUGAACUCUCUGGCAAGGGAGAUAAUGACUUCUGCUGGCCUGGAGAACUUAGUGCCUGGAAGAUGUAGAAGAGUGUUUGAGAGAGAGCCAUGACUUGCUCAGGAUAAUGCCUCAUGGGAAAAAUGUCACCGGAGCCUUAUGGUCUUCAUCCGUUAAAUAAGACAAUUAAAAUGAAGCAACUUCAAAUCUCUUUACAUAAGGAGAUGUGUAGUACAAUGUGUAGUAGUGGAUGCAGUGCAAGCUGUUUUCACAUAAUUACAAUUGUCCGUUAAACAGUUAAACUACUGAAGGGCUGAGACACUUCACCACCACUGUGACAAAUGCCCCCUGCUUUGUGUCGCCAGUCAUGUGGUAAUGAAAUGUCGAUGAC
rnacentral:lncRNA from 1 species